rnacentral:rRNA from 1 species
UGCCGGCGAGCGGCGGACGGGUGAGUAAUGUCUGGGAAACUGCCUGAUGGAGGGGGAUAACUACUGGAAACGGUAGCUAAUACCGCAUGACCUCGAAAGAGCAAAGUGGGGGAUCUUCGGACCUCACGCCAUCGGAUGUGCCCAGAUGGGAUUAGCUAGUAGGUGAGGUAAUGGCUCACCUAGGCGACGAUCCCUAGCUGGUCUGAGAGGAUGACCAGCCACACUGGAACUGAGACACGGUCCAGACUCCUACGGGAGGCAGCAGUGGGGAAUAUUGCACAAUGGGCGCAAGCCUGAUGCAGCCAUGCCGCGUGUGUGAAGAAGGCCUUAGGGUUGUAAAGCACUUUCAGCGAGGAGGAAGGCAUCACACUUAAUACGUGUGGUGAUUGACGUUACUCGCAGAAGAAGCACCGGCUAACUCCGUGCCAGCAGCCGCGGUAAUACGGAGGGUGCAAGCGUUAAUCGGAAUUACUGGGCGUAAAGCGCACGCAGGCGGUUUGUUAAGUCAGAUGUGAAAUCCCCGCGCUUAACGUGGGA